ACUUGAAGGCUUUGAAGCACUCUGUGCACUUGAACUUGCGAGGGCCUCCUCCACUUCCACCGCCACCGGACGACUGCACGUGACGCUGAGGCGGGGAAAUAAAAGAAACACUCUCAGACACUGAUGCAAGGAAAAGAAAAAAGAAACAGCGCUAACGGUCAUGCUAAUGCUAAAGAGAAGCGAGGAAGCAAUUACCACCACCUCGCCUGCGCACCUGUCCACAUCACUGCCUGCGUUUAAGCCUGCCAGAUCCAGGAAUCCAGCCCGAGAGUAUUGACACUCGUUCGUGUGCUCCUUCCGUGUCUCCCGCUCCGCUCCUUCCUCCUGCCACGCCGUCAAAGCUCUUCCACCUGCCCACGCUCCCGCUACCUGCACCUUCCUUGUUCCAACGGACUCCUCAGAUAUCCUACUCCUCAGAUAUCCUACCUAACCCCGAGCUUCUACAAAUUAAACCAUACUCAUCUACUUCCUCCGCCUCCGCCUGCUUUUGGGUCCAGUCCGACAUUAUACCAUUACCAAUUGUGACACUUACCUCCGUUCCAGGCUCCAUUCUGUGUUAAUACUGCAUUGUUGGCGUCUGUCGCGUCUGUCGCGUCUUUGGCGUCGCGGCGGU